rnacentral:rRNA from 1 species
UACGUAGGGCGCAAGCGUUGUCCGGAAUUAUUGGGCGUAAAGAGCUCGUAGGCGGUUUGUCGCGUCUGCUGUGAAAACCUAAGGCUCAACCUUGGGCUUGCAGUGGGUACGGGCAGACUAGAGUGUGGUAGGGGAGACUGGAAUUCCUGGUGUAGCGGUGAAAUGCGCAGAUAUCAGGAGGAACACCGGUGGCGAAGGCGGCUUUCUGGACACUUACUGACGCUGAGGAGCGAAAGUGUGGGGAGCGAACAGG